rnacentral:rRNA from 1 species
GCCAGACUCCUACGGGAGGCAGCAGUGAGGAAUAUUGGUCAAUGGUCGGGAGACUGAACCAGCCAAGCCGCGUGAGGGAUGAAGGUACAGAGUAUCGUAAACCUCUUUUGUCAGGGAACAAAGGCGGGGACGCGUCCCCGGAUGAGUGUACCUGAAGAAAAAGCAUCGGCUAACUCCGUGCCAGCAGCCGCGGUAAUACGGAGGAUGCGAGCGUUAUCCGGAUUUAUUGGGUUUAAAGGGUGCGUAGGCGGGCUGUUAAGUCAGCGGUUAAAUGUCGGGGCUCAACCCCGUCGUGCCGUUGAAACUGGCGUUCUUGAGUGAGCGAGAAGUAUGCGGAAUGCGUGGUGUAGCGGUGAAAUGCAUAGAUAUCACGCAGAACUCCGAUUGCGAAGGCAGCAUACCGGCGCCCAACUGACGCUGAAGCACGAAAGCGUGGGUAUCGAACAGGAUUAGAUACCCGCGUAC